AGAUAGAUUUAGCUGGUGGUGCAGAGAUCCGUGAGCUUGCUUUUGCAGGACUUUAAUGAUAUAUAAAAGCAGCAUGAAGUGAUCCUGACUGUGGAUUAAUUUGGAGAUGACUUUCUCUGUUGAAGAGUGGCAAGACUCUUGCAAGUUCUUAAAAAUGCACUUGUUGAUAUGAGAAUGAAAAGCAGUGGCUGAAGAACCAGUCUUCAAUGGGCAAGGCUUCUCUGUGUCUGUUCUAACAUGUCAUCUGGGAUCCCUUGGAAUCUUCAUGUACAGAACCGGUUGCUGCCUCAUUGAGUUGGUGGGCACAGAAUAGCUCCUGGUUGGCAGCAUGGGUUGUGCAGAAGGACGGAUCCUGCAGACAUCAAUAUCUGGCUUUGAGUGGCACAAAUAAAUAAAGGAAUGUGGAUUCAGACCUCACUGGGGUGCUUGGCAAUUCUAAUUCUACCCCAGACUGCAAAUGGACACAAAACUGUUGCGACUUUUGUUGAAGAGGAGAAGGAUGGCACAGAAGCUGGAUUCAGAAGCACACAGGUCUGGGGAUGCAGGCUUCGGCCACCCUGAUGC